GGGCCCGGCGGAGCAGGGGCCGGGCGUGCGGAGGUAGGACCCGCCGGCGGAGGCGGGCUCUCCGCGGCCGCGGUCGCCGCGCUCUCGGCUCGCCGCGGGCCGGCGCUCCGAUCAUGUCCUGGUGGCGUGCGGCGCUGUCGGGGACGCGGCUGAUCCGGCGCGGGAGCGGCUCCGCGCGCCAGCUCGGCCGGGCGGCCGGAGCUGCGGCCUCCGGGAUGGGGAACAGCACAUCAUCAUCUUUGGGGACGUCAGCAACUGCUCCUGUGAAUCAGAUUCAAGAAACAAUUUCUGAUAAUUGUGUGGUGAUUUUCUCAAAAACAUCUUGUUCUUACUGUACGAUGGCGAAAAAACUUUUCCAUGACAUGAAUGUUAACUAUAAAGUGGUGGAAUUGGACAUGCUUGAACAUGGAAGUCAAUUUCAAGAUGCUCUCUACAAAAUGACCGGUGAAAGAACCGUACCAAGAAUAUUUGUCAAUGGAACUUUUAUUGGAGGUGCAACUGACACUCAUAGGCUUCACAAAGAAGGGAAACUGCUUCCACUAGUUCAUCAGUGUUAUUUAAAAAAAAGGGUAGAGACAGAUGGAGAGAGAGAAUCCCAAGAAGGCUUCACGCUGUCAGCACUGAGCCUGACGCGGAGCUCGAACCCACAACUAUGAGAUCAUGACCUGAGCCGUAGUCAAGAGUCAGAUGCUUAACCGACUGGGCCACCCAGGCACUCUGAGCAACAGCAGGAUGGACACUUCCAGCAAAGGUCUCAUUAUCAGUGAAGACAAUGAAGACAUCAGCAGCUGUGUUUGUCAUUUGAGCCCAGAUCAUCGGAAGAGAGCAAUCAGUUCCACCUGCUGGGAUCUAAUGCAAAACAAAAACAUGGAUUAGAAUAAAAGUGCCCUAGUUUCCAUACUGAGAUGUCUGAAAUAAUUAAAUAUUUAAAAAUA